AUAGGUCUGGUCACUCAGGGAACAGAAAACUACUUAUCCAGUGACCAGUAUAUUUGCCUUCUACCAGACUCCUGUACCCCACUGGUCUGGGUCUGUCACACCCCCCAAUUCUAUUCUUAGGCCCUGCUUCUGCGUAGUCCCACUGACGUCAGUGGGGCUACUACUGGGUGUAACAUUAAGCACAUGCAUAAAUGUUUUCAGGAUUGUGAACCUAGUUUCCUACCAUUUAGGUUGUACCCACAUUUAACUUUUGUCAGUGUGAAAAAUGUCUCAGUUUACUAACAUUCCACAAUUUUGUGACCAGUCCAACAUCUCUUCUUUUUUUUUAACGAGGGGGAAAAAAUCCCCAUCCUUAAUUUUUUCCAUUAGGUUCUUGAGGACCUGGUGUCUUCAUUCUACUGCAAUGUGUUGCUGCAACAUCUUGGAGAACAAUUAGUGAGGGACGGUAUGAGGAAAGAUACAUGGGAGGUGCUGAGAUAUGAGUGAAAUGGAGGCUCUGUAUGGACACUGGGAUAGAUUGUGAAAUGGCGAGUGGAGCAGGAUGCUGCUCUGCAUCCUAUGAUGAGGGCAAAAUAUGACCUGUGGAGCAGAAGAAGAUGGUUGACUGUGGGGAGGAUCCGAUCUCCAACCUGUGAUUAAAAAAAAAGGCAAAUUGAAAAAAGAACUGGAAUUCCAUCAUGUAACUUAUUGACACCCACAAGGGGUCAGCAGCAGGAUUGGAACUGUUAUAUCCACCACACAGCUCCAGUGGCAGAGGUCUAACAGAGUAACUGAUAGCAAUAGAAGGUUGUCAUCCUGUAUGUGAACCAGCAGCAGUAAAGGGGGAUGAACACUUUGCCAGUGGGUUUCAGACAUAUUUGAUGACAGCAGAGGAAUGAAAGGACUCAUUAUGCAGAGGCUGCAACUCCAAUUGCUUUGAUGUACUUCAGCAGCUCUGAAGGAGUCAUUCCUGCCUACCACAACAAUGAUUUAAGAAGAAAUCUUACCACAAUAAGCAGGAGUGCAGUACUAGCAUCUCCGUUUUAUUACCGCUGGAGUUCAGUCACUGAAAAAAGAUUUGGACAAAAUAACUGAGAAAAUAUCAAGUUACAAGCCAGGAAGGGGAAACAUCACCACUUUUACAAUGCGAUGACUGAUGUCACUCAAACACUACAAAUCAUUUUUUUCUUUGAACUCUAAAACAGGUGGAGCUCCAGCAAAAGGAUCUGUGAAAUGGUGAUGACCUAAGGGGCGGGAAAAACCCACUGAUUCUACCAUACUAAAUCAG